CCCCUAUUUGGUCUACCAGGUAUCCUGGAGCUAAGCCUUCUUUUUCCCGCGAACUGCGCUGUACAAUCUUCUGUCAUGCGCCUUAUGCCGAGUUCACCUCGUGUCCAAUCAUAGUUACAAGGCCACAUUAAAAAGAGUACAUGGGCGGGAGGUCUCUAUCUCUCACAAGGACAGGUGGCAAAUCACUAAAGAUAAGACCACCACUAGACAACCGACAACAAAAGAAAGCACAAACAUAAGUAGCCACUUGUUUGUAGCAGCCAUCCAUAGCUUUACCAUGUCAGAUCCCCAAAACCUACCUUCUUCUUCUGCUUCUUCUUCAUCUAAUAAAAACCCCACCGAAAUUAAACCCGGCAACGGCAAUUACGCGGGUCAAAAGGUCCAUUUCCCGAACCCACCUGAGACAACAAAUCCGGACCCUGCAACACUGAGGGAACAAUGGAGGUUUGCUAUUAGGCAGUACAGCAAAUGGUAUUCUCACGCUUGGGGCACUGCUAUUCUGGCUGGUGUUUCGUUUUUCGCGCUUGGCUGGAUCAUCAAGGGAUCCAAUCCUUUACCCUCUUCAAGGACUGAUGAUUCCUCUUCUUCGCCUUCUAAUGAUGCUAAAGAAAAAGCAACCCGAUAAUUGAUGCAAUAGAAUAAUGGGGGAUCAGCCUCUGUUUUGGAAGGUUUUUACAACCGAGGUUCUUACUGGUUUUUAUGUACAGUUCGUACAAGUUUUGUGACUUACCUUUUGUGUUCAGGUAUCAGCCAUUGUAUCGGCAGGUACUUACAACCAAGGUUCUUACUGGUUUUUAUGUACAGUUACAAGUUUUGUGACUUACUUUGUGUUCAAGUAAUAACGGGAUUUGUAAGCUAACCAUGUGGAUGUCGCUGGGCUCUUAAUUUGGAUACUCGCCUGCAUUUUCUCUAAUCCGUACAAUUGACUCUGAAUCCCCUUAUUGAAUGUUUGAUCAAGGAGGGGGAGAGAGAGGAUCGAAGUUGAAA